rnacentral:rRNA from 1 species
AGUGAACGCUGGCGGUAGGCCUAACACAUGCAAGUCGAACGGCAGCACAGUAAGAGCUUGCCUCUACGGGUGGCGAGUGGCGGACGGGUGAGGCAUACAUCGGCUUCUACUUUUUCGUGGGUGAUUACGUAGGGACACUUCUGCUAAUACCGCAUACGUCCUACGGGUGAAAGCAGUGGAUAUUCGGACCUUGCGUGAUUCUAUGAGCCGAUGUCGGAUUAGCUAGUUGGCGGGGUAAAGGCCCACCAAGGCGACGAUGCGUAGCUGAUCUGAGAGGAUGAUCGGCCACACUGGAACUGAGACACGGUCCAGACUCCUACGGGAGGCAGCAGUGGGGAAUAUUGGGCAAUGGGCGCAAGCCUGACCCAGCCAUGCCGCGUGAGUGAAGAAGGCCUUCGGGUUGUAAAGCCCUGUUAUUAGGGAAGAAAAACAGCAUAUGAAUACCCGGCUGUUCUGACGGUACCCAAAGAGUAAGCACCGGCUAACUUCGUG